GAUGGUAAUAAAAUAAGAUAUUUAUGAAAUUUUACAUGAUUAAUUAUCAAACAAACACAAUUGAUAAAUUUAGUUGCUUCACUAACCAUCCGUAUAUAUAUAUAUUUCCUCUUCUAUUCAUUAUUACAAUUUGCGAGAUCUGCAGAUAGAUGAGCAAAAAGCUGAGGUUUGGUAAGACAUUAAGCUAUUGAAGGCUGAAGAAAAUUGAUUUGGAAAUUCUUGUGAAUCUUGUUGGUGACAAGGAAAGAUAUUUAAAAUCUCACAUGGUGCUAAAAUCUUGGGAUCUUAGAGAAUUUUCUUUUCUGUACACCCUUCAUUCAAAGUUGAAUAUCUCUAGCUCACCGUGACUUCGGAUUGAGUAAGAUUGAUGGUGUUGGAAUUUUAUCGUUCAUAUCUAGAUGGGUCAUUCUUGACAUCGUUUGAGAGGUAAAAAUCUACUUAAGUUCCUCUUCUUUUUCAAAU